GACGAACUCUUAAUUAGUUAGUCUAUCUUUUACUUUAAUCUUAAAACUCAUUUAAAGUUUGUAACUGGAGCUUAAAGACCACCUUCCGGGGUAAAUUUCCUUAGUUCAAGACAAUGCUGCUGUAUAUAAUAGCUAUAAAUCUUCUAUACACACAAAAAAAAGGCCUAAAGGGGUUAGUCUACUGGAGCCGUGUGACAUCUCAGUUUCAUCCCUUUCUCCCUUGUUUACUUCAUUCAUCAGUCAUCUUUUCUUCAGAUCUCUCUGUCUUCACUCUGGUGUCAUCUGUUCUCUUUUUUCCCUGCGACCAUAGAAACUCAGUCACUCACCCUCAUCGAGUCCGAACCAGAUAUCACACCAUCGAUACGCCUUUCCAGGACCACAGUCUCAUGUACCCUAUCUAUCGGGAAGACGCACUGAAGCUGUUACGCACAGCUAAGACGACCCGAAGCUACUCGGACAGGGCUUAUGGUAGUUCGGAGAGGAGGAUGAAGCGAGAUAGGCGAAUGUCGGUCUACAGCGAC
ensembl:lncRNA